AGGGCAAGUCUGGUGCCAGCAGCCGCGGUAAUUCCAGCUCUCAAAAUGCAUAGAAUUAUUGCUGCGGUUAAAAAGCUCGUAGUUGGAUCUGUGCUAGCCGGCCGGUCCACCCACUGGGUGUGCACUGGUUCGGUUGGCUUUCUGCCGGUCUUUCCCCGGCGUUGGCCUUCACCGGUCGGCGUCGGUGGGCUGGCGAGUUUACUUUGAACAAAUCAGAGUGCUUCAAACAGGCGUUUCGCUUGAAUGUUCGUGCAUGGAAUAAUAGAAGAGGAUUUCGGUCCGAUUUUAUUGGUUUUGCUGACCGAGAUAAUGGUUAACAGAGACAAACGGGGCCAUUCGUAUUGCUACGUGAGAGGUGAAAUUCUUGGACCGUAGCAAGACGGACUACAGCGAAAGCAUUUGGCAAGAAUGUCUUCAUUAAUCAAGAACGAAAGUCAGAGGUUCGAAGGCGAUCAGAUACCGCCCUAGUUCUGACCGUAAACGAUGCCAACUAGCGAUCCGCCGGCGGAUUCAUUCGCCCUGGUGGGGAGCUUCCCGGAAACGAAAGUCUUCCGGUUCCGGGGGAAGUAUGGUUGCAAAGCUGAAA
rnacentral:rRNA from 1 species